rnacentral:rRNA from 1 species
UGGGGAAUAUUGGGCAAUGGACGCAAGUCUGACCCAGCAACGCCGCGUGAAGGAAGAAGGUUUUCGGAUUGUAAACUUCUUUUAUUCGGGACGAAGAAAGUGACGGUACCGAAUGAAUAAGCCACGGCUAACUACGUGCCAGCAGCCGCGGUAAUACGUAGGUGGCAAGCGUUGUCCGGAUUUACUGGGUGUAAAGGGCGAGUAGGCGGGAUUGCAAGUCAGCUGUGAAAACCCGAAGCUUAACUUCGGGCCUGCAGUUGAAACUGUAGUUCUUGAGUAUCGGAGAGGUAGGCGGAAUUCCCGGUGUAGCGGUGGAAUGCGUAGAUAUCGGGAGGAACACCAGUGGCGAAGGCGGCCUACUGGACGACAACUGACGCUGAGGAGCGAAAGCGUGGGGAGCAAACAGG